AUUGAACGCUGGCGGCAGGCCUAACACAUGCAAGUCGAGCGGAUGACGGGUGCUUGCUCCUUGAUUCAGCGGCGGACGGGUGAGUAAUGCCUAGGAAUCUGCCUGGUAGUGGGGGACAACGUUUCGAAAGGAACGCUAAUACCGCAUACGUCCUACGGGAGAAAGCAGGGGACCUUCGGGCCUUGCGCUAUCAGAUGAGCCUAGGUCGGAUUAGCUAGUUGGUGAGGUAAUGGCUCACCAAGGCGACGAUCCGUAACUGGUCUGAGAGGAUGAUCAGUCAGACUGGAACUGAGACACGGUCCAGACUCCUACGGGAGGCAGCAGUGGGGAAUAUUGGACAAUGGGCGAAAGCCUGAUCCAGCCAUGCCGCGUGUGUGAAGAAGGUCUUCGGAUUGUAAAGCACUUUAAGUUGGGAGGAAGGGCAGUAAGCUAAUACCUUGCUGUUUUGACGUUACCGACAGAAUAAGCACCGGCUAACUCUGUGCCAGCAGCCGCAGUAA
rnacentral:rRNA from 1 species